rnacentral:rRNA from 1 species
GAUGAACGCUGGCGGCGUGCCUAACACAUGCAAGUCGAGCGAACCGACGCCGAGGUUGCUCUGUUCUCGCUAGCGGCGGAUGAGUGAGUAAUAGGUAGGUUACCCUCAUCUCUGACAUGGCUCAGUUAGGCCAGCCGGAACUACUACUGGAACAUCCUCCGACCUGUACGGUUCGAUAGAGAUAGUUGGCUCUGCUAUCACCCACAGCCGGUCCUGUGCUGUAUUGGCUAGUUGGCAAGGUAACGGGUUACCAAGGCAACGACCCGUAGCCGACCUGAGCGGCGGAUCGGCCACACUGGAACUGAGACACGGUCCAGACGACUACGGGAGGCAGCAGUAGGGAAUGUUCGGCAAUGGGCGAAAGCCUGACGGAGCAACGCCGCGUGUGUGAUGAAGGUCUUCGGAGCGUAAAGCUGGGUUAUUGGGUAAGAACAAACGUGUGAGUAGAUGUAGACGUCGUGACGGUACCUGAAGAAGAAGCCACGGCUAACUACGUG